rnacentral:rRNA from 1 species
GAAGGUCCGGGCGUUAUCCGGAUUUAUUGGGUUUAAAGGGAGCGCAGGCGGACGUUUAAGUCAGUUGUGAAAUACGGCGGCUCAACCGUCGGGGUGCAGUUGAUACUGGACGUCUUGAGUGCACACAAGGAUGCCGGAAUUCAUGGUGUAGCGGUGAAAUGCUCAGAUAUCAUGAAGAACUCCGAUUGCGAAGGCAGCUCACGGGAGCGCAACUGACGCUGAAGCUCGAAAGUGCGGGUAUCGAA